rnacentral:lncRNA from 1 species
UUUUAGGGCCAAACCCGCGGCAUAUGGAGGUUCCCAGGCUAGAGGUCUAAUUGGAGCUGUUGCUGCCGGCCUACGCCAGAACCACAGCAACGUCAGAUCCUAGCUGCAUCUGUGACCUACACCACAGCCCACAGCAAUGCCGGAUCCUUAACCCACUGAGUGAGGCCAGGGAUCGAACCCCCAACCUCAUGGUUCCUAGUCAGAUUCGUUUCCGCUGCACCAUGAUGGGAACUCUGCAAGGCAGUUUUAUGGGAGCCAGAGGCCACCCUGAAGCCAGGUGGAGGAGCCAGAAAGAAGGAACUCGAGGGACCCUGAAGUGAGUGGGACCAGCUGAGAAAGAGCUGGGAGGGGGCAGAGAAAGGAUGGAGGACAUGCCUGCACGGUCCAGGUGUGACUGGGGACAUGUGCCUCAGCAGAAAACAUCAGCCUCCCCUCUGCCUGGGUGCCUGGAGGCACGAUAUGUACAAAGAACUUUUGGGGUCCUUAUGAACAAAAGCUGGGGAGACCCGGGAGGGAAGGCAGGAACAAGGAGGAGGAGAAGAGGGAGAGGGGACAGAAGUUCCCUUGCGCACCAGCAGGGGCCAGACAGGGACAGUGGGCAGGGCCCAGGGCUACAGCCCUGGGCCUGGGCGGAGGCAGAGCUGAGUCAGGAUUUCUGAAGUGAGCCCUUAUUUCAGGCUGCCGUGGAGCUGGGCGAGCCCCCAAUUUCUGGAAUUUCAGGCCCUCCUGCCUUAUCUGCAAUUUGGGGACCUAAUCCAACAGGUUAUGUAGGGCUUGGACAAAGCACCUAGGAGCUCAGGCCACAGCCUUCCGCGCUCACGGUGGGCUGUGUCCACGCUGUAUGCCCCUGGCCAGAAUCUUUCGGUGUGGUCCAUCUCCAAGGGCAGGUCUUGCCCCUGGGAUGCAGCUGCCCCUGCCCUCCUUUUGGAUCUCAGAGAUUCUCCACUGCCCCAAGGAGGAGAGAUGCAGCAGAUCAGAGGUCCUCCCUCCCCUGCCCAUUACAACCCUGAGCCUGGCCAAACAGCCGGCUCUUCUGAAUCCCGCGCCUGCCCCAUCUGUGACAUGCAUCCACUUCUUGAGAGGCGGCCCAUGACGGGGCUCACCCAGGACGUGUCGGGAGGACCCCACGAGACAACGUGUGGAGAGUCAUCUGGUUCUGUGGCUUACCACAGAGCAAGCUCUCAACAAGUGUCAGCUCUGCUUUUUACACACCACCGACCUCACAUGUCUCAUCUUAUUUGUCCCAGACGGAGACAGCGUGUUCCAGCGACGCUGGCCUCCUCCUCCCUGAACCAGGAACAGCCCAUGCUCAGCCCCAUUUUUUUGCCCAUAAAUGUCCUCCCACCUCCUGUGCGGCAAACACUCCCCCUGCCAGGCCUCACGGAGUGCCGCCUCCUUCCCAAAGCCUUCCCUGAGGGUUCUAACCCACACACAGCUCUUCCUUCUCUGACUUACUUUGCUUCCAGCCAGUGCCUCGAAAUUUAACAGCAAAAAUCACAGAGUUAGAGAAUUUGCAAACUGGAAGAGCCCUUACCAAUGAUCCCUGUCCACUGCUUUUAAGCAGGAAGGUAGAGAAGUAGCUGUAUGUUGUCACAUCCUUUGGCCCUCCCCAUAGGCAUCACGAAUUAACCACAGUCCUCUGCUUCAGAAUCCUUCUCAACACAGUGGUCCAGGCAGGCAGAAGCAGCCUGGGCAGUCAGCAGUCUGUGAGCCUGAGGAGCCUGCUUUAGGCCCCAAGGAACAGUCUGAUCCUUCCCCAGAGCUCCUUGUACCACACCGGGCCUCUGUCUUUCAGUGCCUUUCUGAUCUCCCGAGGAGGUGUGCAGUCACUGUGAGGGAGGGGUGGCAUCUUCAACUGUUCUGGUGUCAGGUCAGGACUCCACCCGCCCACUUGCUGAUGGCUGCCUGGGGUUUCUCCCGUGUCUUCAGAGCCUGUGCAAAGGGGCAGGGGAGCUGGGGCUAAAGGAGGCUCUGCCUGUGCUCCAUGUCCUCCCCUCUGUCCCUAGCAGAUACGGAGCACCAUUCCCCGGGAAGCUGCAGAGGGUGCUGGGGUGCUGGGCAUCAGGGCCCAGAGCCUUUCUUUUCCAUCUGCAGCUGGUCUGCUGAGGGGCCUCUGUCUCCAUCCAUGCAAGGGGCUGGAGGGAGAAGAGGAAGAAAUCAAAUGCCCCCUUCCCAGGGCCCCAAGGAUGUGGGGAAGUGUUUCUUGUGGGGGGUCCUGUGUCCUGGAGGAAGAAUGGGAGCCGGAGCAUGGAGGGGACAUGGCUGAUGUUCAGGCUGCUGAAGGAGCUUUCAGCUCAGCUCAAGCUCUUGGAAGCUAAACAGUCUUUCCCCACCACUCCCACAAGCCAGAGGCCUCAGCGUCCCCCAGACCCGGCCCAGUCCUCCCUCCCCAGCCAGUUCUGCUGAUGCCCCUCUGGAGGCACCUAGCUUAUCUGCAGGUCUGCAGGGCCCCUAAUGUGCAGUCAUGUCACAAUUUGCUGCCUCCACUCGCCAUCAUCUCACUGUCUUCAGGAGGAAGGCAAGCGCCCUGCCCGGGUCCCCAGCCUCUGAGCUACUGGCCUCUCGAUUGCAGGGGUGUCCUGACUCUGCAGGAUGUCAGCAGAACCCCUGGUUUCUAUCACCCACUGCCCCAGGUUUUACCACCCAAAAAGGGGCCCAGACACUGAAUUAUGCCCUCUGGGGCACAAUCAAUUCAGAACCACUGUCCUCGCCCACAGACCAGGCCAGUAAUAUGGCUAAGUGAGUGCUUCCCUCUUCCCCGCAUUAAUCUUCAGAACAUCCCUGUGGGGUGGCCCUGUUUGCUCUCCAUUUUAUAGAAGUGGGUGCUUAGAAGGCACCCACUUGGAAGCUAUUCAGAUCUUUCAAGAAAGCCAAAAAUUUUGCUUUCCUUGUGGGGUGAGAGGAAGAUGAUUCACAACCCCUUCUCCUCGAGGCUGGGCUGCAGAACCAGAGACAAAGCAGGAUUUGAACCUGGGUCACCUGCUGGCAGGGUCCGCCUUCUCCCCCUGUGCCACCUGCUUCUCCCUGUCACCCACACAGCGUCACCCCUAGCACCCUCUGCCCUCCCAGACCCCACACCUUCAUGGACUGAUGUCCCUGCCCACCACUCAGACCCAGGCUGACCCUCUGCCCUCUUCUCUGAGUAAACGAGUAGUUCCCCUCCCUUGUCCAGUGUGGUGCAGACUCGGACACAUCUUGGUGUCACCAAUUGACUGGGCUGUGACGGUCUGCACUGUGACACCAGGACAGGUGCACACAUAUGGUCAUGCCAUUGUAGACGCUGGGCCAAGGGACAUGCAGGCAUUCUAGGUCCCUAAACAGUGCCAUCUGCCCCUGCCCUGCUCCCUGUGGAGCGGAGAGAGAGAAGGACAUUCUGGAAGACCUUCGUGGGAAGCCAUACUUUGCAGAGAUAGGUCCCAAGGCAGAGCAGUAAGAGAGCACCUCCCCCCUCAGCUCCUGCUUUGGGCCAAUGCAAUGGGGCUUGCAGGCAAAUAGCUUUCAGCCCCUGCUGGCUGCUCUAAGCAGUGGCCAGACCCACAAGCCCAGACACUGCUGGAUUGGGGAGGGGGCUCUCAGGGCCAAAGGUGGUGGGUAGGUGGGUGGGAUGGUCUGGGUGAGUCACAGGAGAAGCCCAAUCCCUGUUCUCUAUUGACAGACAGAGCAGAGAUAGGCCUUCCUGAUAAGAUGUCCAUGGGUUCGGUGAGGAUGGUUGGGCUUGAGAAGAGAGAAUGUGCAGGGGCUGGGGCCACUCCCCAAGACAGGGGCCCAGGACUGUCCCUGUGACACAUGUGAGUAUGCCCACCUGGGUGGGUGUGAGGUGGUAUAGCCUGGGCUGUGGGCAGAGGUCAAUGUGAAAGUGCAGGGCUAUGCACCAGCCCCAGCAGAGCUCUGCAAGUGUGUGUGUGUGGAGGGUGGCGGUUAGGGGUUUUUGUGGCUCAUGUGUACUUGCCGUUUCUCUUGCACAUGCAUGCACCAGAGUGGGGUGUGUACUGACUCUGCACCCCCAGGGGUUCCCUUCUCAGCCCAGGCUUCGCCUCACACAGACACAAAGAUUUCACUGCCCACAAAUUCCUCCACUUCUGAAAAAGACAAGGGGGGGAAAGGGCCAAGAUACAAGAAGAGAUAAAAAUAGCUGAAAAUAAGCUCUUUGGAUCAGAAAGCUCCCUUUUUCAGUGAGUCACCAGUUCUUCAGACUGAGUGCACACCCCCCACAUGCACACGUGUGCACACACACACACACACACACACUACAAAACAUAAGCACACGGUCAUGCCUCCAAGUUAUGCCUGAACCCUUGUGCAGAC